rnacentral:rRNA from 1 species
UACGUAGGGGGCAAGCGUUGUCCGGAUUUACUGGGCGUAAAGGGCGUGUAGGCGGUUUUUUAAGUCAGAUGUGAAAGUUCGGGGCUCAACCCCGGAAUUGCAUUUGAAACUGGAGAACUUGAGUACUGGAGAGGUAAGUGGAAUUCCUAGUGUAGCGGUGAAAUGCGUAGAUAUUAGGAGGAACACCAGUGGCGAAGGCGACUUACUGGACAGAUACUGACGCUGAGGCG